UCGGAACUCCUUGGGGGGAUAGGGAGGUGUCCCUGUCUUUUCCUAUGGGCCUCUAUCCCUACAAAGUGCUGAAAUCUGGCCGCAGGGUGGCAGUGUUGAGGUGCUGGAAACUUCAAGAGCUGGAGGUCUAGUGGAGGGUGAUGACUGGGUUAGCUUUCUCCUCAAAGUGAGGUGUCGGUCUUGUGUGGCUGGAUUAGUUCUCUAGAGAGUGAGUUAUUAUAAAAUGAGGCUUCCCACAUGCUCAGUCUCUUGCUACUUCUCUAUCAAAUCACACGGAAAAUUACAGACUAGUGACUGUACCAAAUUUUGAACCAAAUGUCAACAUAACCUUGUAAAUAGAGGUCUGUCCGAAACUAAUGGUGAGAGCUUCUUUUCUCAAGCCCCUAGCGCAGCUGCUAAGGCUGCAGCCAGAGUGCCUGAUUUCCAAGCAGUAGGAAGAAAGCAGGAAGAAGGGCACAGAAGUUGUGUGUCAGCCUGGUGAGCACCUUUUAAGUGUCCUGUGCUGACAUUUCACAGGAAUUCCACUACUAGAUCAACCAUGAUUGAUAAAAAACAGUC